GGGCUGUGAGAGUCUUGGUGGGAAGUGUCGAAGCUGGGGGGGCGGCCCUGGGGGCUCGGGUCCUCCCCGUCAGUGCCCCUGCCCCGGGGGCUUCAUAUCCCCCUAGAGAAGUGCUGUGAAAGGAGGGGCUCCUGGCAGGGAAGAUUGGAGCAUCUCCCCACAGCGCUGGCUCCCAGGGGCCCCCAGGGCAGGUCCCUCGGGGCGGCACCUACCUGGACUGCAUUUGGGGCAGCACUCGGUCCCCACUGGGUACUCCUCCUCUUUGCACUGGGGCGUCGCCAGGGUGUAGCGGGGGGACCCCAGAAGGAGGAGAUACAAGGCCUGGAGGGGACAGAUGGGGCGUUGGAGGGGAGCAGCAGCCCAGGCUGCCCCGGAGCCUCGAUAUCAGCCUCUGUGAAAUGGGGCAGCAGCAGCCCCAUAGCUGGAGGUGGCCUGGGAGGGAGGACACAGGUGGGGCCCGACAGGCUCUGGGAAUCAUCCAGGACAGCCCUGGCGUUAGGUGGGGACUGGCCCGUCUCCUGCCUCUGUCCCCAAGUCCACCAGCAUGGUACCCCAAGGACUGGGUCUCUGCUCUCACCAGGGACCACACUCCCUGGGAAGCCCUGAGCCACUCUGGGCUGGACAACUGGCCAUCCUGCCUCUGGCCUGUGCUGGGCCCGCUGAGCCCUGGGGACCCAGCAGGGUCAGAGCAGGACGACCGUCAGGGGCUCACAGGCCAGGCACGGGAGACAGGCUGUUCAGGGCCCGGGCUGGGGUGGGCCAUGAGGGGGCCCAGGGCCCAGGGCUGACUCUGCUAACCCUGAAGUUUCCGCCUGGGCUGGCAGGAAGCCACACGGGCAAGCAGGCUCUCCCCCCCGGCCUGGCCCUGGACUCCACCCUACUCACACAGACACGGACUUUAUCUCCCAGGACAGGGAGGGGCUGAGGGUGGAGAUUAGCCACCUGCUGGGGGCUCCCACCCCAGGGCGGGAACAGCUCAGGCAUCCAAGAACAGCCGGGCCCCGGAGGCACCCUCACCCUGUGCUGGGGGCUCACCUUCGUCCCCUGAGUGGGGUUUCGGGGACGAGGCCCACCAGGAGCUGUUCUAUGGCUUUCCUGUCUGUCUGCUCCCCUACCCCAGGGCCAGGGUGAGUGGGUGACAGAGGGCUGGGUCAGCCUAGGAGAGCCGGGCAGCUGGGGGACAAGGGCAGGACAGGGACAUCGUGGGCAGGGAUGGGGAAGAGGGUACACCCAGGGGCAGGAAUAGGGGCGCUGGGGCGCGGCUGGACAGACAGGCAGGCUCAGGAGACUCACCAGGCUCAGGGCAUCAGCCUUGGGUGCCGGGCUCCAUGGGGGUGGCCCCCAGCCUCGCAGAGGCUCCAUGUCUCUCCUCACGACCCCUCAUUCCCUGGCUGCUGUCCCUAGCCCCCUGCCAGCAGGACGAGCUUUAGCACUUGGGCUUCCUGCUGCCUCGCUGGCUGAAAGAGAAAGAGAAACUGCAGCAGGAGCCAGCGAGGACGGCCUUCGGGGUGAUCUCAGGAAGUAUUCGUCUCCAGUCCCCAAGCAUGUGCCAUUGGGGCCCUAGGCUGCCAGGGGAUCAGGACCCCACAGUGACAGGCAGGGAGGGCCCUGGGAUGCAGUCUGCAGUUGGCAGGACCAGCGGUCCAGAGCAGAGGUCAGGGCAGGGGGAGGGGCGCAGCAUAGGCGGCAGGGGGGAUCUCCUGCUGACCCUAGAGAGCCAGCCUGCAGCUCCUGACAGCAGGAGCCAAGAGGAACCUCCUUGGCUGUGUCUUACCUGUCUCUGUUGAAAAGGGGGGACCCUACGUCUAUGGAAAGGGGGAACCAGCGUCUAUGGAAAGGCGGGAUCCUGCUUCUACGGAAAGGGGGCCCAGCCACUUCAAGGAAACCCCGCCUCCCAGCAGUGCAUUCUGGGCGUGUCCACCCUCUGCCUGGGGCUGGGUCAGGCUGGUUUCCACCUGCACAGCCCUGCGCACGUCUCUGCAGAAGGUGACCCUUCCCCAAUCCCAGGAGGCUGGGGGUCGCUGAGUCCCCAUCAGGGUGAGAAGGGGGACAUUUUGUGAGCACCCACAGGGGCCCCCACUGUGUCCACCCCCACCUGUCCUGGGACGGGGUGGGAGUGGCUAUCUCCUGCUCUCAUUUCACAGGUGGGGACCUGGGGCUCAGAAACGGACAGGGCCUUGCCCAGGGUCUCCCAUGUGCAAACUGUGCUCAGCCUCAAACCCCAACCUUCCUGUGCAGACGGGGUUCUCCCCACUCCACCUUCCCUGGAGCCAUGGCCAUCUCCCGAGCUGGGGGACAGGAGGGCAGGCCUGGGAGAGCAGACCCUCAUACACACACCUGGUGCCUAAGAGUCACACUUGGGACUGGUGAGAGGCACCCACCCAGCCCUGGCAUCCUGGAUGGGGAGCGACUGGGGGACCCUGGGAGGAGACCCUGGGCACUGGGGAAGGAACAGGGCAGGAGUGAAGUCCGAGGGCUGGGUGGAGGCUGACCACUGCCCUAUCGGCAAAGCUUCGCAGCGCCCAGAGGCAGCGUCCACCCUGGCCACCAUCACCCGGGACGACCAGCCCAGCCCCACAGACCCUGGUGCUCUGAGGUAGGGUGGGGGUUUGGUGGGACCAGGGGCUUGGGAGCUCCCAUGAGACCCAGCAGCACAGGGUCCCAUCCCCACACCCAGGGGCCUUUUAGAGGGUGCCCCCACCCCGCUCCCCCACGUGCACUCACACCCCCUGCCCCCAGCACUGCCAGGGGGUUUCCAAUGAAGGGAAAGGGGCACCCCCUCUGCACCCUCUGCUUGGUCCCAAGAGCCCUGGGGAGUGCUUUAGAAUGCCCUGGAAACCCCAGCAGCACACGGGUGCCUCAGAGCACACUGCAGGCACCCAGGGCAGGGACAGGGCUCUGGGACCACCUCUGCUCCCUGCCAUGCCCCCAGGGACCUCCCAAGUCCUGGGAAGAUCCUUGGGGUGGGGUUGGCCAGAGAGGGAGGAUGUUCUCCCCACACCUGGUGAGGCCCCCAGGACCCUCGAUCCCGGCUCUCAACCCACCACUCCCUUCAGAUGCCUCCUUUCAUCAGAGAUCCUUUCAUCCACCCCACCCUGGGCAGGUGGGGAAACUGAGGCACAGCAAAGGGCAGGACUUACCCACAGGCAUCAGUGAGUCUCAGCUGGAAUGGGGAGUCCCAUGGCUGGCUCAGCCCCUGUACCCCUGGCCCAUCCCUCCCCACCCAGCCACCUCAAGACUCAAGGCCCUAGAUGCUGAGCCAGCGUCACGCCCCAAGGCAGCAGGGGAGACCCGCCCAGGGAGCCUUCUGUACCAGGUCUCUGCUGAGCCAUGGCCUCUUCAGGAGGCUUUCCUGAUGCCUGAGUUUCCAACCACACCCCCUGCACCCUCACCCAGUGACCCUGGUGUCUUAUUGGUUCCUUGUCUUCCCACCUCCCCCCUGGAAUGCAAAUUCCGUGGCAGGAGUUCUGUGUCCAUUUUAGCAGGAAGACGAAGGGCUGGGCUCCAGUCUCAGCAUCACCAUUCCUGUGCUCACUCCUCACUCGCUGUUCACUCACUCAUUCAGCACCCAGUAGUUCAGGCCAGGCUCAGUUCUGGGCGCCAGACUCAUUGAGGAGGAAAUGAGACAGGAGGAGGGUGCAGACAGGGCUCCUGCCCACGCACCAGGAGUCCCCAUGGCUGGCUGUCGCGUCUGCUCCUCGGCCCCAGGCAUCCAGGAAUCAGGAGCAGGGCAGGACCAGGGUACGCCCCAGGGAGCCCCGCACCUGUCUGAGGCUCCAUGGGGCUCUCGUGCCCCUUACUUAUGGGGGGGGGCAGGUAGAGCCCGCACCCCAGGGCCUCUCCUUCCAGUCAUCCCUGUGAUGUGGGCUGGGAUCCAGGGAAGCCGCCUCUCCUGACUCAGCCAGAGCCUGUGUCCAGGGACCCCAGGGCUCCUGCAGGGUGCCCAACCUCAGGGCCCAGGGGAGGGCCCGGCAGGAGCUUCAGAGGCAUCUGUGCAUGCCUCCCCCCAGUGCAGAUGGGGAAACUGAGGCUCAGCCUCUCCCCAAACCCAACUCUGCCGCAGCAAGAGGAGCCUCCAUCACCUGGCUAUCCCUUGAGACCUGCCCCUGCGCCCACCGUUCCCUCCCAGGGGCUGCCCACCCCACCACAUCGCCGACACCCGGAGCUCCCGGCCAGGACACCUCCCGAUGGGCUGAGGAAUCCCUGAUCACAUUUCCUCCUCUUCUUGAGAGGGAGAUCUCUGGGGUCCCGAGCAUGGGAGAGAUGCUGAGAACCAGGGUGCUUGAGCCCAGGCCUGGAGGGUGGGAGGCAGGGUCGUCCUGAAAGCCCACCUUGAGGCCCCCCCUCCUCUCCUCUGCAUUCUUGGUGGCCUCAGCCCCCUGCUCUGUGGGAGCCCCGGGCUGGGAAGUGGGCUCAGAGGCAAAGCAGCCUGGGCCUCACCCCCUGGGGCUCAUGGUCCAGUGAGGGAGCUGAGUCUAAAAGCCACUGUCAGCGUCAUGUGGUGAGGGCUGGGUAUGGGCAGCAGAUGUGGGCUGGGGCUCUGAAGAUGAACAGGAGUCCUGCUGGGGGACAAGGUGAGAAAGGGCAUUCCCGGAGGAAAGAUGUGGGUUGAACAAUAUGGCCGGGAAGUUCUUGGGGUCCAGCCCUGGUGAGGCAUGGAAGGGGGCCUCGACACAGAGCUGGCCGAGGCUGGCCCCUUGAGGGAGGCUGCAGACCCCGGGUGCGUCCUGUGCACGGGAGACUGUGCAGGUGUCAGGCUGGUGGGGAGGGUGGACGGAGUAGACAGGGGCGUGAUGUCUCCCAGGUGGGAGCCUCUGGGAGGUGAGGAGCAGGGCAGGGAGGGCAGAAGGGCGUGGAGAGAGGUCAACUCCAGGGACGCCCAGAGGCGCAGGGCCUGCAGGAGUCGGUGUCCGACUCUCAGGGUGCGGGUAGAGGUGGACGGAGAGGACGGCAACUCCUCAGCCUCAUGCCUGGGACAGACGGGAGAGAACUGGGGGUUGGGACAGGGGUCAGAGGAGGGGCAGAGUGUGCUUGGGCCACCAGGGACUUCCCAGAGGCCCAGGUGCCUGCUCAAAUCCAGGCUUGUCCUGGGAGCAGAACUGGGGGUGCUGUGGGCGCCCAGACCUGGUUUUGUCUAGCUCCAGACCAGGGUAUCAGUUCUCGUCUCAGACGUCUCCCCAGCGCCCCGUGCCCAGUCCCCCACCAGCCCUCCCAACUCCUCCUCCACAACUCCCCCACCGCCUCUGCUCCCUGGCAAAAUCAGGGCCCUGGGAGGCAGCUGUGUGCCACGCUUCACCUUGCUGCACCCACACCGGGACCCCUUGUGGGCAUGGAGAGGCUGCCUCAAGAGGCUCCUCAGAGGUCUGCUCCCUCCAGGCACAUGCUCUCACCUCGGCACCCCGCCCUCACUCUGGCUCCCCUGCUCUGCCUAGUCCAGACAGCAGCUAGGGACACCCCUAGCUGCCCAUGACACCACGGUCACGGUCGCCCCCUCCCUGCACCCUCUGGGGCCCCUCACCAAAUCCCCCCCCCCGCCCCCCAAGGCCUGCCCAUCAGCCCAGACUUGCCUCUCCAACUCAUGUCUCCCUUUGCUACAGCCACACCAACCCCUUUGCGUCCCUGCUUAUUCCAGCUCCUUCCAUCCCAGAGCCCCACGCAGGCCAUUCCCUCUGCCGGCUCAUCCUGGGAGGUCAUCCUGAUGUCUCUCCUGUCCUCAGAAACAAUCUCAGCUCAUACCUGUGCCGUGCUCCCUGGUGUCUGGCCCUCACCUCACCUACAGGCCCUCCUGCCAUCCUAACCCUCACAGUUACGCUGUGUGAAUAGACGGUCAGGGCCCUAGGGACCACGGCUUUACAGGUCAGGAGACCAGGCGGAGAGCUGGGGCCAGGCCAAGGGAGGCCACCUCUCCAGAAGGAGCAAAGGAGGGUUGGACCAAACAAGUGGCUCCGGCCACUUGGCAAUGAUUCAAUGCUGCCUCCCUGGUUUCAGCUCCAAGAGAGACUUCUGGGAAAUGUUGAAGGUGGAGGGCUCCUCCUGCCCCUGGUUCAACAAGCAAAUGGACAAUCCCAGCCCUCGGAAUGGGACCAGCACCCAGGGGGCCUUUGGGAGCAUCGGGGGCCUCCUGGCUCCACGUUGGGCAGCUGGGCCCGGGGACCAUUGGCCAAGAGCAGGAGAAGGUGAGGAUGGACGGCUGGGAAAGAGAAGAAAGAGGAAAGGGCAGAGCAGCCCAAGAAAGAGGAAGACAAGAUGUGCAGACUCACUGGUGACAGGGAAGAGAAAGUUCCUCAUAGAGGUGUUUACAGGUCAAGACUGGGCCCAGGGGAAGCCAGCAGGACUGAGGAUGGUGAACUCCAUGGAGCACGGAGUGACUAUGCAGUGGGCCAGCCACUCUGGAAGGCAGUUUGGGAGUAAAUGUUAAAUGUCUUAGACCAUUGCACCCUUUGAUCAGGCAAUGUCGUGUAUGAAUUCCACCCUGGAAGUAAGUAUUCUCAUUCCAACGGGAAGAGGUGGACGUACAGGAGAGGACAUCAGCCUUUGAAGGUGCCAGAGAACAUUGGAAAUAACCUAAGUGCCGUCGAAGGGGAACUGUCCCUCUUGCCUGCUGCCGUGAUGGAGUAACACAGCCUGGACUUACCCUCUGCCCCCAAAGCAAGAAACUGAAAACCGUGAAUCAGCUGUGUUCAGAAACUAGGCAAAAGGAACUGGGAUCCCCAGCAGACCAGGGCAGUCCUGCUGAGUUAAGAAGAAAGGGAUCAGGCCUCAGGACGGCUGAAGCUGGUGGACACGCAAGCAGAGCUCCCGAAAGGAGGGAGCUGCACAGACAAAAGCUACAGCCAUCGGCAAGGUCCCCUUAGCAUUGGCUCAAGAACCUGCCGUGUGUGUCACGGAUAAAACUCCACAGUACGGCACAGUGAGCCACUAGGAGCUGUGCACCGAGUGACUCCAGAGCUCACACAGGGUGAGGGGACAUUGGAGUGCUGACCAGCUGGACUUGACUGUCCUCAAUGGUCCCUUUGGCCUGCAGGAGAGACCCCAUAGGCCGCGCCUCCCCAGGGCUGAACCGGCCUGGAGUAAGGCUGCUCUAGCCCUAGUGUAACUAAGCUCAGAGUCCCACCCAAGAUCAAAGCGAAGCCCAAGUCACUGAGCACAGGCCGGACACGCACAGCCCUCUCUCCAGGAGGACUGAAAGUAAAAGAGAAAAUUCCAGAUCAUAAAGAAAGUAAAAACACCAUGCCCAGCAUCCCAGCAAAAAUUACCCACAUGCCAAGAAGCAGGAAAAUGUGACCAGCAAAAACGUGAAUCAGGAGAAAUAGACCCAAAGAUGACCGCAAUGAUGGAAUUACCAGACAACACCCUAAGACAGUCUUUCAAACAUUUUUAAAGGGAAAUGUAAACAUAAAGAGGGAAAUGGAAGAUAUAGAAAGAACCAAAUGGAACUUUAUAAAAUCUCCAGUGAAGAAUGAGCUGGGCAGGUGUGUUAGCCGGCUCGGGUGGCCAUAACGAAUACCGCAGUAUCCUGGGUAAACAGCAGGAAUUUAUCGCCUCGCAGGCUGGAGGCUGGAGUCCACGAGCAAGCUGUGGUGGGGCUGGUCUCCCUGAGACCUCUCGGCUUGCCUUGUAGACGGCCUCCUUCUCACCAUGUCCCCACAUGGUCCUUUCUCUGUGCAUGCGCAUCCCUGGGGUCUCUUUGGGUGUCCAAAUUUCCUAUUCUCCAUAGGCCUGCUCUCAGAUUGGAUUAAAGCCCACCCAGAUGGCCUCAGUUACCCUUAAUUACCACCUUUAAGGCCCUAUCUCCAAAUAUAGCCACAUUCCAAGGUAUUGGGGGUUAGGGUUUGAACAUACGAAUUUGGGGGGACGCAAUUUGGCCCAUAAAAGUAGGGUUAACACAGGCUGGACACUUCAAGAUGAUAUCCAUGAACUUGAAGCUAUAGUAAUAGAAACUAUCCAAAAUGAGGUACAAAGAGAAAAAAAGAAAAGGGAAAAAAAAACAGGGCCUCAGUGAUGCCUGGAAAAUAUCAAGCUGUCUAACAUCAAUAUAAGUGGAGUCUUACAAAACAAGAGAGAGGCAAGAACAGAAAAAUUAAAGAAAAAGUAUAAACCUACAAACAAAAGAAUGCCUACAAACCCCAGGAAGGAUAAACAAGAAAGAACAUAUAACAAGGAAAAUCACAAUCAAAUUCCUGAAAAACAGGGAUAAAGGGAAAAACCCCAAAUCAGUCUCAGCGAACACCGUCACAUCCAGAGAAGCAGAGAUAAGGGGCACGGCUGAAUUCUCACCAGAAACAGUGCAAGUCAGGGACGAUAGAAACAUCUAGAACACGCUGGAGAACAUCUCAACUUAGACUUCCAUACACAGUGAAGGUAUUUGCCCAAAAUGGAAGCACAACAAAGACUGAGGACUUCCAUUUCAUGAUUUCUAUAAAAGCUCCGGUCGUCCAUCACCAGCAGACUUUCAUUACAAGAAAUGUGAAAGGACUUUCUUCAAAGACAAGGAAGUCGGUACCCAAUGAAAACGCAUCUCUACUCAAAGGAAUGGAGAGUGAAAGAAAUGGUAAAUAUGUCAGUAAACAUGAGACAUCUUUUUCUCAUUUUUAAAAUUUCUUUUAAAAAUAAUAGAAAGCUUAAAGAAAAAUAACAAUGUGCUGUCAUGGUCACAGCACGUGGAAGUAAAAUCCAUGACAAUAAGAGCAAGAAGCCUGGGGCAGGGAAACGUGAGUGGACUGUGUAAGGUGCUUUUCAUGGUCUGUCAAGCGGGUGAUAGUGGGAGGUGAGGACAGGUGCAUAUUGUAAGCCCUAGAGCAGCCGCUGAUAAAUAAAAUGAAGAUGUGUAGCAAAUAAGCCCACAGUGCAGAUGAAUGAAAUACCCAAAAAACACUCAAUUCGUCAAGAAGAAGGCAUAAAGGAGGAAACAAGAAACAAAGAACAGCAAAUAAUUAUCAAAAUAUGGACCCAAACCCAACCACACAGGAAACUACAUGGAAUGGAAAUGGUCUCAAUCCUCCAGUUAAAUGCAGACAUUGUCUUACUGCAUGCAAAACCAAAACUGUAGGCUGACGUGCAAAGGAUACUGUACACAGAAAGAGACAGCAGCCAAAAGAAGAGGACAGCGAUUGGAGAUUGCAGGGUUCUAGAGGCCGGGGGCUGUGCAGAAACAGAGCCCCCAAAUCUGCAGAGGCAGCUGAGAGACUCCCACAGCCAACGUCUCAGUCGAUGGUGAAGACGGCAUGCUUUCACCCAAGAACAGGACGAGGCAGGGACGCCCACUCAUCCCCUUCUGCACAACACUGCACUGGAGUCUCAGAAAGGGCAACGCGGCAAGAAAAAGAAAGAGAAGGCGCGGCGAUGGGAGCGGAAGGGAAACAUUGCUUCUUCGCAGACAACGUGACCACAUAUAUAAAAGUUCUACAAUGUCUACAGAAAGGCUAAGUGGCCUACACAGCUUAUUUAGUGACGUCACAGGACACAAGGCCAACAGUUUAGAAAAUACAGAUGGGUUUUUGAAAUUUAAAAGAGCAAGAACACACUCACAUUAAAAACAUGAAGCAUCUGGGACAAAUUCAACAGAAUGUGUGCAGGCCUGUGCAGGCCCUGCCGAGGGAGGGGACAGAGGACGCCGUAAAUGGAAAGGUACGAUGCUCACAAAGUGGAAGACUGGGUUUCGGCAAGAUGUCAGUUCUCCCCCAAGUAACCAGAGAUCAAUGUAGUCCCAAUCAAACUGCAGCAGGCUUGUUUGUGGAAAUUGAUACGCUGAUUUUUUACACUCAUGUGAAAACAGAAAGGAGUUAUCGUGGCCAAAACAAUUUUGAAAAGGAAGAGCAGGGCUGAAGGACGUGAGCUGUAAGCCUCGUGGAUCCAGCCCAGAUGGUGUAGGCAGGAGGAGUACCAACCGGUCGACGAGACGGAAGAGACGGAGUCCACAAACAGACCCGCUCGUGUGCGAUCACCAGAGUGUUGUCGGAGGCGCCACAGUAAUCCCACAGGGGAAAGGUAAUCUUUGUAGGCAACAGUUGCUGGAACAGGGAGAAUCAAGGCGGCAAAAAUGAAGCUCAGCCUUUACCCUCACCACGAGCAAAAAGUAGCCCAAAGGGACCAUAGGCCUAAAUGUAAAAGCUAAAAUUAUUAAACUUCUGGUAGAAAACAUAGGAGAAAAUCUUUGUGACCUUGAAGUGGGCAAAGAUUUCUUAGAGAGGACAUGAAAGACAUAAACCAUCACAGAAAAACAGAUAAAUUGGACUUCAUCCAAAUUAAAGACUUUGCUCUUCAAAGUUUGAUAUUAAGGAAAUGAGAAGGCAAACCACCUGCUGGGGAAAAUAUCCACAACACACAUGUCUUGCCCAAAAGAUAUAUUUUUUAAAAAUUUCUUACAACUCAAUAAGAAGACAAACAACUCAAUAUUCUUUUAAUGGUCAAGAUUUUUGAACAGAUCCUUCCCCAAAGAAGACACACAGACGGCACAUGCAAAGAUGCUCAGCAUCAUUAGUCAACAGGGAAAUGCAAAUUAAAAUGACAAGGAGAUACCACUUCACAGCUAUCAGAGUGGCUAAGGGUAAAGUCUGACCAUAUCAGGUAUUGACGAGGAUAUGGCGUUACUGGAUCUGUUGACACUGCUGGUGGGAAUGGAAAGUGGUACGACCACUUUGGAUGACGGUUUGGCAAACGCUUACAAAGUUAACCACACGCUUUCCAUCUGACCCAGCCAUUCCACUCCUAGGUAAAUAACCUAGACAAAGGAAAAUAUACGUCCACACCAAAAGCUGUUUACAGACUUUCAUAGCAGCUUUACGCACAUUAACCAAGAACCGGCAGCCACCCAGACACCAUGAACAGGUGAAUGGAUACACAUAUGGUGGCAUAGUCAUAAAACGGGAUACAACUCAGUGAUAAGAAAGAGUGAUAUUGAUACACAGCGUCAUGGAGGGACCUCGCGGUCAUUAUGCUGAGUGAAGAGGCCGGACCCCAAGGAGCGACAGAGUGUGACUGCGUUGAUGUGAAAGUCUGGAACAGGCAGGUGCAAGGCAGAGGCAGAGAAAGCAGGUCACACAUGCCUGGACCAGGGGUGGGGACUGCCUGGAAGGGGCUCGUGUGGGUCACAGAGGGCUGCCAUGCCAAUGUCCCCUGGCCUGGGUGGCCUAAACAACAGAAAUUUACUUCUCUCAGUUGGAGGCUGGAAGGCUGAGAUCAAGGUGCAGGCUGGCUGGUCUCCUGAGGCCUCCCUCCUUGGCCCGCAGAUGGCCACCUUCUCCCAGUGUCCUCACGCGGCCUUUUCUCUGUGCACCAGCAUUCCUGAUGUCUCUUUCUCUUCUGAAGUCCUACCGGGUCAGGGCCCCAGGCUUACGACCUCAUUUAACCGUAACGACCUCCUGACAGCCCUGCCUCCAAAUUCGGUCACCCUGGGGGUCAGGUCUUCAAUAUAUGAAUUUGGGGGACACAAUUCAGUGCAAAGAGUCUCCAACAAGAACGCGAGUUCCCAAGGACAGGGAGGUUUCUCCGCCACUCACAGCUACGUCCCCAACACCUGGCACAGAGUGGGCACUCGGAACAGACCCACUGGGCAGAUGCGAGGUAGAGGAAAGCCCUCGACAGCCUAGAGCUGGCCUGGCGCUAUCAGCCGGCCUUGGUGUUCUCCAGGUAAAUUAAUGUCAUGGCACGUCAACAUCGACAAGGAUACACAGACAGGUAUGAACUCAGACAAACAGUCACUGUCACGCCACAAAAACAACCAAAUACCGCCGCCCUGGCAAAUACGGGUGACUGCUGCUCCCUCCCUCACCACCCACACAAUGUCAGCCAUGCCCUUCUGCUUACAUCCUCGACAGGAUGCAUUCAGAUCCCCAUCGUGGAGCACCCGCUCCUCCAGCACUCAAUCCAGCACGACCAAAAUCACCCAGCACCCCCUAGAUGCCACCAUUCCUGCCCAACACGUCUCACGAAGGCCCCCGGUCCCCGCAGGUGUGUCCUCUCACUGUGAUGGGGCAGCGUCCCAACUUCUCGGGGCGCAGGUGCGGCGUGGUGGUGGCUGCAAGGUGCUGGCCGCUGUUGGGGUUCUCCAGGUGAAGCAGCCACAAGACGAACCCAGUGCUCUUUCUCUCGCUAAUGUUGACCCCCGGGAGACAGCUCUGGUAAGGUGAUUUGCUAAAAGAUCUGGGACCCCCACACCACCAACUGCGUCCACACCCACUCCCACCCCAGCCCUGAGGGCAGGGAGGCAGAGAGGCUUGAAAGGGGACAGAGAAGCUCAACCUGUGAUGCGUUAAAAAAAAAAAAAAAAAAAAAGCAUGUCUGCGUGUGUAUGUUUCUCUGUGUCCCGAAAAAUUCCGGGUGCCUGUGCCUCAGGGUGGGUGGGGAGAGCUCUCGCCAACAACAAACUUCCACUUUCUGCUGUGGUCUGUUCCGCACUGCGUGAGUUUUUGUAACAUCACGUGUCACUUUUACAAGAAAAAGGCUGAUCAAGAGCCAUAUUAACAGUCAUUGCUGGUGACGGCCGGGCCACCAGGCCAGCCCCACGUACCCCACCAUUUCCCCAGAAGGGAGCUCGGGUCCCUCGAGGAGUCAGGGGGCAGAAAGUAGGACAGAGGUUCAGGGGCUGGGGGAGCGAGAUGAGGAGUUAGCGCUCAAUGGGGACAGAGUUCCUACUGAGAUGACAUAAAAGUUCUGGAGACGGAUGGUGGUGAUGGUUGCACAUUAACGCGAAUGUGCUUAAGGCCACUGAGUUGUACACUUACAAAUGGUUAAAUGGUAAAUCUUACGUAAUAUAUAUUUCAUCGCAAUUUUUAAAAUACAUCAAAUUUGUUUGUUAAAAGAAAGCAGGAGGGAGCCUCGUGGUGCUGGUUCUGUUUUGACCACAUCAGUGUCAACACCCCCACACACACUGCGCAGUAGUUUUGCAAGACGUUACCAACGGGGGAAACUGGGUGAAAGGUACACGGGAUCUUUCUGUAUGAUUUCUUACAACUCCCUGUGAACUAUCUCAAAAUAAAAAGUGCAACAACAAAAAAGUCAGAUGAGAAGCACUCUGAACGGAUGUUUGCACUUCAGUGGCGUACAAAGUUGUCCAACCAGAGCCCGAGGCCCCCGGGCCUCCGUGCACCCCUCACUGUCAGCGGGCGGCCCAGGCACAGCGGGC
rnacentral:lncRNA from 1 species